UAAUACGUAGGGUGCGAGCGUUGUCCGGAUUUAUUGGGCGUAAAGAGCUUGUAGGCGGCUCGUCACGUCGGGUGUGAAAACUCGCGGCUCAACCGCGAGCCUGCACCCGAUACGGGCGAGCUAGAGUUCGGCAGGGGAGACUGGAAUUCCUGGUGUAGCGGUGGAAUGCGCAGAUAUCAGGAGGAACACCGGUGGCGAAGGCGGGUCUCUGGGCCGAUACUGACGCUGAGAAGCGAAAGCGUGGGGAGCGAACAGGAUUAGAUACCCUGGUAGUCCACGCCGUAAACGUUGGGAACUAGGUGUGGGGCCCAUUCCACGGGCUCUGUGCCGCAGCUAACGCAUUAAGUUCCCCGCCUGGGGAGUACGGCCGCAAGGCUA
rnacentral:rRNA from 1 species